rnacentral:lncRNA from 1 species
UUUCUGGAAUUGAGAAGGAAAAGCAAAACAAGUAUCAGCAAAGGGCUAGAGACGAUGUGGGAGGACUACAGUCUCCAUAAGGUGCGUGGAAAGAAAGUGAAAGUGUUAGUCGCUCAGUCGUGUCCGACUAUCUGCGACCCCGUGGUCUGUCCUUGGAAUUCUCCAGGCAAGAAUACUGGAGAGAAUUGUCAUUCCCUUCUCCAGGGGAUCUUCCCGACUUGGGGAUAGAACCUGGGUCUCUUCCAUUGCAGGCAGAUUCUUUACCAUCUGAGCUACCAGUGAAGCCCAAAGCAUGUGGAACUGGCCAUAAAUCUGCACCACAAGGUCCAAGGCAUAUACAUGCACAAACAUGUUAUCAUCUCUUAAGAAUUCAAGACAUCUGAGAACCAAGGAAAGAAGUGGAGAAUAAAAGCCUCACAGAAAAGAGAAGGAAUGCGUGUAGUCACUCCACUUGGGAAAAGAGUCAAAGCUUUUAUUCCGAGUCCUCUGAGCACAACCACCCAGUGGUGGAGGAGAUCUGGAACACCCUUCCUGCCUCCUUCAUGUCUUCACACACACGCCUCCCAUACCCACCAGGAAGAGAGGACAGGCCCAGAACCACACAAGAUGAUGGAUACAUGUAGGAGUAUCAGUCCUCAGGCAAAACAGCGAACAGGCAAGGUUUUGGUGGGACACACCCAAGGCCUCUGAUGGUGAGGAACAUUUCUUUUGAAAGGUAUAACAGUGUUCAGUUUAGUCACUCAGUCGUGUCUGACUCUUUUCGACCCCAUGGACGGCAGCACGCCGGGCGUACUUGUCCAUCACCAACUCCCAGAGCUUACUCAAACUCAUGCCCAUCGAGUCGCUGAUGCCAUCCAAUCAUCUCAUACUCUGUCGCCCCCUUUCUCUUCCUGCCUUCAGUCUUUCCCAGCAUCAGGGUCUUUUCCAGUGAGUUAGUUGUUUGCAUCAGGUACCCAAAGUAUUGGAGUUUCAACUUCAGCAUCAGUCCUUCCAAUGAAUAUUCAGGACUGAUUUCCUUUAGGAUUGACUGGUUUGAUCUCCUUGCAGGCCAAGGGACUCUUAAGAGUCUUCUCCAAUACCACAGUUCAAAAGCAUCAAUUUUUCAGCACUCAGCUUUCUUUAUAGUCCAACUCUCACAUCCAUACGUGACUACUGAAAAAACCAUAGCUUUGACUAGCC